GACGAACGCUGGCGGCGUGCUUAACACAUGCAAGUCGAACGGAAAGGCCCUGCUUGUGUGGGGUGCUCGAGUGGCGAACGGGUGAGUAACACGUGAGUAACCUGCCCUUGACUUUGGGAUAACUUCAGGAAACUGGGGCUAAUACCGGAUAGGAGCUCCUGCUGCAUGGUGGGGGUUGGAAAGUUUCGGCGGUCGGGGAUGGACUCGCGGCUUAUCAGCUUGUUGGUGGGGUAGUGGCUUACCAAGGCUUUGACGGGUAGCCGGCCUGAGAGGGUGACCGGCCACAUUGGGACUGAGAUACGGCCCAGACUCCUACGGGAGGCAGCAGGGGGGAAUAUUGCACAAUGGGCGGGAGCCUGAUGCAGCAACGCCGCGUGCGGGAUGACGGCCUUCGGGUUGUAAACCGCUUUCGCCUGUGACGAAGCGUGAGUGACGGUAAUGGGUAAAGAAGCACCGGCUAACUACGUG
rnacentral:rRNA from 1 species